AGAGUUUGAUCCUGGCUCAGAAUCAACGCUGGCGGCGUGCCUCAGACAUGCAAGUCGAACGCGAAAGUUUCCUUCGGGAGACAAGUAGAGUGGCGCACGGGNUGAGUAACACGUAGGUAAUCUACCUUUGGAUGGGGAAUAACAAUCGGAAACGGUUGCUAAUACCGCAUAAUGCAGCGGCACCUAAUGGUGACAGUUGUUAAAGCGGGGGAUCGAAAGACCUCGCGUCUGAAGAGGAGCCUGCGGCGGAUUAGCUAGUUGGUAAGGUAAUGGCUUACCAAGGCUACGAUCCGUAACCGGCCUGAGAGGGCGGUCGGUCACACUGACACUGACAUACGGGUCAGACUCCUACGGGAGGCAGCAGUCGGGAAUUUUGGGCAAUGGGCGAAAGCCUGACCCAGCAACGCCGCGUGAAGGAUGAAAUCCCUCGGGAUGUAAACUUCGCAAGAACGGGAAGAAUAAGCGAAGGCUAAUACCAUUCGUGAUGACGGUACCGUUUGUAAGCUCCGGCUAACUCCGUGCCAGCAGCCGCGGUAAUACGGGGGGAGCAAGCGUUGUUCGGAUUUACUGGGCGUAAAGGGCGCGUAGGCGGUCAGCACAAGUCAGUUGUGAAAUCUCCGGGCUUAACUCGGAAAGGUCAACUGAUACUGUGCGACUAGAGUGCNG
rnacentral:rRNA from 1 species